rnacentral:rRNA from 1 species
GACGGAGGAUGCAAGUGUUAUCCGGAAUCACUGGGCGUAAAGCGUCUGUAGGUGGUUUAAAAAGUCCACUGUUAAAAAUUGAAGCUUAACUUCAAAGAUGCCGUGGAAACUUUUAAACUUGAGUAUGAUAGGGGUAGAGGGAAUUUCCAGUGGAGCGGUGAAAUGCGUAGAUAUUGGAAAGACCACCAAUGGCGAAGGCACUCUACUGGGCCAUUACUGAUACUGAGAGACGAAAGCUAGGGGAGCGAAUGGG